UACGUAGGGGGCGAGCGUUGUCCGGAAUCAUUGGGCGUAAAGCGCGUGUAGGCGGUUCGGUAAGUCUGCUGUGAAAGUCCAGGGCUCAACCCUGGGAUGCCGGUGGAUACUGCCAAACUAGAGUGCGGAAGAGGCGAGUGGAAUUCCCGGUGUAAGCGGUGAAAUGCGUAGAUAUCUGGAGGAACACCGGUGGCGAAGGCGGCG
rnacentral:rRNA from 1 species